rnacentral:misc_RNA from 1 species
AUGGAUCGCUGUAAGAAAUUUUUUAUCAGAAGGAGCAGUGUAUCUUCCCUUGAUGGUUUAGAGACUGAACUAGAAAGAAAAGAACGAUGGAGAAGCAUCUACGCAAUUUACUUUACCAUGUUCCUGAUGUCCCUUGGUUUCAGCAUUAUACUUACUGGCGUUUGGCCAUACUUAGACAAGUUGGACCCCACGGCAGGAAAAAUAUUCAUGGGUUACGUGGUGGCGGCCAAUCCAUUGGGACAAAUGUUAUUUUCACCUCUGGUCGGCUGGUGGGGCAAUAAAAGGGGAUCAGUGCGGUUACCACUUUUGAUAACACUGGCUUUAUUCACUCUCGCAUCAGCAGCUUACAGUCUCCUCGAAGUGAUACCUGGUGAUAAAAAGAUUUAUAUGGUCGUUGCUAGAUUCUUCGUUGGAGUUAGUUCUGCUAAUAUUGCAGUAGCGAGAUCUUAUUUAUCUGCAGCUACAAAAUUUUCAGAGCGCACACAAGCUGUUUCUAUGGUCUCUCUUGCACAGGUACUGGGUUUUGUGGUGGGUCCUGGUCUGCAAGCUGCCGUGACACCUCUUGGAGAUCAUGGUGUAACAUUUAUGAUGCUGCCUAUAAACAUGUAUACAGCAGCUGGUUGGAUUAAUGUGAUAAUGGGAGUCAUCAAUUUCAUUUUGUUUUUUCCAUGGAAUUUUAAGGAACAUAAGAUUGCCAUAAAAGAAGCUAUGCGUAACGAGGGUAAAGCUACAGAAGAAGAAACUUGGAAGGCCAUUAAGCCUGAUUAUCUGGCAUCGUGGACAUUAAUUUGUGCAUUUUUCGUUUUGGUGUUUAACUUUGUUCUUCUUGAGACACUUGGCACCUCCCUCACCAUGGAUCAAUUUGCUUGGUCUAAGAAGGAGGCGCUAUAUUAUAUGGGAAUAUUGAUGAGCGUUGGGGCUGUAAUAGCAUGCGUUACAUUCGUCUUGAUCGGACCACUUUGUAAAAGAUUCGAGGAACGUAAAGUAAUGUUAUGGGGUGGAUUCUUUUUGAUGGUGAUUGGAAGAGUGCUAUGUAUCCCAUGGGGUCCUGAUCUUCCUAAAAUUGCAGAUUUUGGACCAUAUAAUAAUAUUACGGAGGACGAUAACGGUACAGAAAUAGUAGGAUGCCCAAUUACUCAGGAAUGGUGCCUGUACACUCCGCAAUUGACGAUUACUCAAUUUUUCAUCGGUUACGGCUUUACCUCCGUCGGUUAUCCUCUAGGAGUUACUCUGAUACAAACGAUAUUUAGCAAAGUCCUCGGGCCACGUCCGCAAGGCGUGUGGAUGGGUUUGAUGACGGGUGCGGGUUGCGCAUCUCGCGUCUUGGGUCCGGUGUUCGUAGGCUUCAUUUAUACUCGCCUAGGAACGUAUCAUACCUUUGGUAUCACCGGGAUAAUGUUGAUCAUUUCCAUGCUUUGGCUGCAAGUCGUGAAUAAGCGUUUGAUCCCACCAGAAGCGAACCAAGAUAGCCACGCGCCGGGUAAGGAAGGCAAAGAUGUCGAAAUCCCGUUAGUUAAUUUAAGGUCUGCAAAUAUUCAGACGUCGCACGAAACGGAAAAGCAUAACGGAGCAUCGGAUUGUGAUAAAGCGUAACAAUAAUUGUUGAUAAAGAAAAUCCUUGCCAGUGCAAUAUGCCAGUGCAACUGCCACAAGACAAACGAAUGCACAAACAUUAGUGCGAUAACGAUACGAAUUAAUCUAUAUUUUUUAUGAAUCUAUACAAAUUACUGUUACAUUCUUUAUACACGUGUAGAUAUUUUAUACAAUAUUAUUAUAUACAAUGUUAUAGGCGUUGUGUUAAAGUAUGAAGUGAAUACCUUACUUAGAAUUGUUAUGAAUAUAACAAUGAGACAAAAAGAGAUUAAUAAUUAUUCUAAACAACGAUUUUAGUGAUACAAUUUAGUGAUACAAUUUGUUCAUUUCAUGAUAUUUUUAUAAAUUCACGUUGCAAGCUCAUAUUAAUAAUUACAGGAUAAUUAGAUAGCUAUUGCGAAACUUAGAUUGCAAAGUAGUAAAGACUCGCCAUAAAUAACGCCAAAGAUGGCAUUUUAAAUUUUUUGUAUUCCUAUUCUUACUGAUACAAAGAUGUUUUAACUCUAAGAUGAAUUUUAAAACAAAUCAUGAUUUUUAUAUAUAAAAAAUUCUAGUAUUAGAAUAGUGUCAUAAUUAAGUAUAAACAAUUUUGUAAUGUACAAAUUCGAGUCUAGUACAGGCCCUAGUAUAUUAUAAAUUACAGGUAAUAUCGUGUACAAACUUGUACAACAUUUUUACGAAGGCCAUAAACGUUAUGCGAUAUUUGUAUUGAAAUUUUAUUAUGGAGGACGCAAAUUUAUUAAUCGAUUCUUCCUUUUUAUCUCGUUAUUAGUGAAAUAACUUGUUCUUGCUCAAACUAGAUGUUGAGAUGUUUACUAGAUUGUAACAAUUGCAUACUUUGGUACUUCUCUACUGAAUAACGAAAUGCAACAUAAAUCAAUGCAAGAAUGUAAAAAGGUGCAGUCUGUUUUUUUACCUCUUCAGGUAGUUUGAAAAGCAAAGACUGACCUCUAAUAAUUUUUACAAUUAAAUAGAAAUUUUAUAGACCAUAUAAAAUUAAUGUAGGAAAUAAAUGAUUAGAGAUAUAUUUUAGUAGCAGAUGUAUUAGAAAAAUUAUGAUAUAUUGAUAGCAAUAAUGUAUAUUAUAAAAAAAAGAUGCAGUUUACAUAUACUGUUCGAAGUGCAAUCAAACUAAAAACAUAAAGCGAUAUUUCAUAUCUACAAAAUGCGAUGUAACACAAAAUAAUAUAUAUACAUAGAUAUAUAUUUUUUAAUACUUAUAUGAAGAAAAAAUGAUAGUUUAAAUGAACUACUUGGCGGCAAAA